ensembl:lncRNA
UGUCACUCUAAGAUGAAAAAUGCCCUUUAAUAACCAGUUAAGCUCACACUGAAGCUUCUAUACUGAGCCACUCAUCUAAUCAUCCACAAACCAAUUAGGAGAAAAUGUUAUUAAAAAAGGGAAUAGGAAUCGGGGGAUACCCAUGUAUCCCCGUGGCAGAUUAUCCUGCUCAUCCUGAUGGAGGUCGGUAGCCUGGUGCAAACUGGUCCCAAUCAUAUUUUAUAAAAAAAAAUAAAUAAAUAAAAAGAAAAAAAAAGGGACCUUAGAUCUGCUUCUAACCUGAUCUAUUUAAGCCAUCAAUUCUUUGUUAAAUGUACCUUAAAGUUCAGAGCUCGCAGUUUCCGCCCUUUUAUUUCUUGUUUUUGCAAUAAACGCAACUCAUUUGGCGUUUUCGGGGUUUUUCCUUGCUACAGGAUGAACAAUGACACAGAGCUUGCGCCCAUCACGCGCACAAGAUGUCUUUAUGCCCAAGUAACAAGUGCUCUGGACGUCUAUCGCAAGCAUUUAUUUUCUGCAUUGACGUUUGCCGUGCGCUGGUAUCGCAACACGCUACAUAUGACAGUGCGAGGAAAAGAUACAGACAGUUAGCAGCAUCCAAAACCCCUGCGUCUAAUAAGACUCCGGGUAGUCCGUCCAACUCACAAAAUCCGAAUGCGUUUUGGAAGUAUACGUGCCUCCGUGCCGGGGUACAGCGCUGCGUCGAUGUUGCGUUACAAAAUAGCUCCCACUCUUAAUCUUUUCCACACACGCACACAAAUAAAAUAGAAGCUUAAGUCGUAUAAAAUAAAUCCAAGUAUCCUGAUAUACCCUCUUUCCCCCCUGCACAUCUCCCCAAGUCACUCAGAACGCAGACAGCCUUAGAUUUUCUGCCCCUUCUCUAGUUGCUCAUCAAGUCUCAUGAAAUGACUCACCUGCCUUGUCGAGAUCUAAAUCCCCCCAUGCCUUUCUGGAAAUAAAAAGCCGGGAUAAUGUUUCACUGUUUCGGGGUCUUCACUCGCAGUCGAGUCUCUGUACUCCAAAUAUCCGUAUAGUCUGCGCACUGCUUAUAUGUUUUUCGGGAAUGACCUUCCUGUGAAGCGAUAACGACUCUCAUUAUCCUCACUCCGCUGUCAUUUUAAUGGAUUUCUCCCACGUUUUAUUUUAGUGAUUAAUUUUCUUUCUUUCUUUCUUUUUUUCCUUUUUUUCCUGCGGGAAGUCUCCUCCUAGUCCUGGUGCGUUUUGCUGCUUUUGCCUUGACUCUUGAGCUCAACACGAGCUUCGCGGGGACGCGCGGCGCUAUCCCGUAUGAAUAUUCGGGAGCGCCGAUUUGAGAUGGAGAAGAGAGUUACUAGGUAACCAAGGGCACACGCAUCAUACAUGAAAAGGAGCAGACGGUUUAUGCCUUCCAACUAUUCUCUACCUUCUCUGACAGCUCAUCAAACACAACCCUUUUUCCCCGGACUAACGUUUCUCACCAGAACAAAAUCUAUAAGGCAAGUCAGACACGUAGCCUAUUUAAUAAUGACUGUAGAGUUACUGAGGCCUCUGAGAACUUCGUUUUAAAUGAAGAUUGUAUUUCUAUGGCAGAUUAGCAAUUUAUAAAGAGGAUAAAACGUUAAAGGCAUCCAAGCACUUGGAUGAAGUCAAAGAAAAAAUAAAUGAAGUAGAGGUGAGAUCUAUA